AGCCUAAACUAGCAAGUAAUUGUUGGCAUGGCGAAAGAAAACCGUUGAAGAUAAAGAACCCAUCAUAUGGGAUUUGUCUUCAACGGCCGUAUCGGGAAACUGGUACGGAAGGCUCCGAGCCUUC
rnacentral:sRNA from 12 species